UACGAAGGGUGCAAGCGUUAAUCGGAAUUACUGGGCGUAAAGCGUGCGUAGGCGGUUUCUUAAGUCUGCUGUGAAAUCCCCGGGCUCAACCUGGGAAUGGCGGUGGAUACUGGGCAGCUAGAGUGUGUCAGAGGAUGGUGGAAUUCCCGGUGUAGCGGUGAAAUGCGUAGAGAUCGGGAGGAACAUCAGUGGCGAAGGCGGCCAUCUGGGACAACACUGACGCUGAAGCACGAAAGCGUGGGGAGCAAACAGG
rnacentral:rRNA from 1 species